AUUGAACGCUGGCGGCAGGCCUAACACAUGCAAGUCGAGCGAGCGGCGGACGGGUGAGUAAUGUCUGGGAAACUGCCUGAUGGAGGGGGAUAACUACUGGAAACGGUAGCUAAUACCGCAUACCAUCAGAUGUGCCCAGAUGGGAUUAGCUAGUAGGUGGGGUAACGGCUAACUUAGGCGACGAUCCCUAGCUGGUCUGAGAGGAUGACCAGCCACGCUGGAGCUGAGAAACGGUCCAAGCUCCUUGGAUAAGGGGCAGGGGAGAAGAUGGCACAGUGGUCGCUAGCCUGCUGCAGCCAUGCCGCGUGUGUGAAGAGGGCCUACGGGUUGUAAAGCACUUUCAGCGGGGAGGCGUUACCCGCAGAAGAAGCACCGGCUGACUCCGUGCCAGCAGCCGCGGUAAUAC
rnacentral:rRNA from 1 species